rnacentral:rRNA from 1 species
GAGUUUGAUCCUGGCUCAGAUUGAACGCUGGCGGCAUGCCUUACACAUGCAAGUCGAACGGCAGCGCGGGAGCAAUCCUGGCGGCGAGUGGCGAACGGGUGAGUAAUAUAUCGGAACGUGCCCAGUAGUGGGGGAUAGCCCGGCGAAAGCCGGAUUAAUACCGCAUGAGACCUGAGGGUGAAAGCGGGGGAUCGCAAGACCUCGCGCUAUUGGAGCGGCCGAUAUCAGAUUAGCUAGUUGGUGGGGUAAAGGCCUACCAAGGCAACGAUCUGUAGUUGGUCUGAGAGGACGACCAGCCACACUGGGACUGAGACACGGCCCAGACUCCUACGGGAGGCAGCAGUGGGGAAUUUUGGACAACGGGCGCAAGCCUGAUCCAGCAAUGCCGCGUGCAGGAAGAAGGCCUUCGGGUUGUAAACUGCUUUUGUCAGGGAAGAAAUCCUCUGGGAUAAUACCUCGGGGGGAUGACGGUACCUGAAGAAUAAGC